AUUGAACGCUGGCGGCGUGCCUAAUACAUGCAAGUCGAACGCAGUGGGGACGGGUGAGUAACACGUGGGUAACCUCCCAUCAGAGGGGAUACCACUUGGAAACAGGUGCUAAACCGAUACUGAUGGAUGGACCCGCGGUGCAUUAGCUAGUUGGUGAGGUAACGGCUCACCAAGGCCACGAUGCAUAGCCGACCUGUGAGGGUGAUAAGCUACACUGGAACUGAGACACGGCCCGGACUACAACGGGAGGCAGCAGUGGGGAGUGUUCGGCAAGGGACGAAAGGCUGACCGAGCAACGCCGCGUAGGUGAAGAAGGUGUUCGGAUCGUAAAACUCUGUUGUUAGAGAAGCGGUAUCUAACCAGAAAGCCACGGCUAACUACGUGCCAGCAGCCGCGGUAAUAC
rnacentral:rRNA from 1 species